rnacentral:rRNA from 2 species
CAGCCGCCGCGGUAACACCAGCCCCUCGAGUGGUGGGGAUGAUUAUUUGGCCUAAAGCGUCCGUAGCUUGCCGGAAAAGUUUCCCGUUAAAUCCGACGUCUCAAGCGUUGGACCGCGGGAAAUACUAUCUGGCUAGAGAGUGGGAGAGGUUAGCGGUAUUCUGGGGGUAGGGGCGAAAUCCUUUGAUCCCCGGAGGACCACCAGUGGCGAAGGCUGCUGACUAGAACACGUCUGACGGUCAGGGACGAAAGCUGGGGUAGCGAACCGGAUUAGAUACCCGGGUAGUCCCAGCCGUAAACGAUGCAUGCUAGGUGUUGGGUUGGCCACGAGCCACCCCAGUGCCGCAGGGAAGCCGUUAAGCAUGCUGCCUGGGAAGUACGAUCGCAAGGUUGAAACUUAAAGGAAUUGGCGGGGGAGCAC